UGGGUAACCUGCCUCAAAGAGGGGAAUAGCCUCCCGAAAGGGAGAUUAAUACCGCAUAAUAUGUUUAAGUCGCAUGACUUUAACAUCAAAGGAUUUUCUUUUAGAACUUCCACUUUGAGAUGGACCCGCGGCGCAUUGGCUAGUUGGUGAGGUAACGGCUCACCAAGGCAACGAUGCGUAGCCGACCUGAGAGGGUGAUCGGCCACAUUGGAACUGAGACACGGUCCAGACUCCGUAGGAGG
rnacentral:rRNA from 1 species